rnacentral:misc_RNA from 1 species
ACCUCAGUCGACGUCAAGCCGUCGCGACGACGCGUGCGUAUUCUGUUCUACUUCCGUAUCACGGGACUCGCGAAGAUUCGCGUGUUCCGCGCGCGACGUGACUUGUCGAGCGUGUGCCCACCUGUUCGCGUCGACGGACGUGAUCACGAAGGGCAGUCCCCGGUGCGUUUCACGACAAGUGUGUCCUCCCCUCUUCCGGUUGACCCCCUCCCCCCCUCACUCCAAACAAGUGCUCGCGAUUACUCCGAAAUCGUUCACGCGCGUAGCUGCGAGAAUUAUCCGAGGGUAUCGCGAAGAAUACUCAUUGACCUGCGUCGCGUUGAAGUCUUGAUGAAAAGCACAACUGUUCGAAUGUCUCGGUCGUUCCACGAUAAAUAGGAGAAUCGCCGAAGGGUACAUAAAGUCCUCUGUGCACAACUGACUUGUGUUAUUGUACCUUCGUUCUAUCAUCGUUCAACGAAGAACACGGCUCUGUUCUUCGGGUGAUCCAUUAGUCAAAUUUCUUUUGUGUUCGACUCGUUUUCGAUUCAACGAAGAGAUUAUUAUUCGAAGACGAACUGUAUCUAUAUUGGUUUGUCAUUGCGAUCGUUGUUCAUAUCGUUCUAUUUGCGCAGUCAUCCUCCCUGCGAAGGACACGACGGUGCUCCGAUAAUCCUGAUAGUAAUCGAGUAACGUAUCGAUUGAUCCGCAAGAUAAUCAUCGUGGAGGAUUAAGAGCUGGAAUUCCCAUCUAAACGUGAUCACAUGAUUUGUAACGUGCCAAUGUGCCGUUGAUACGUCGUCUAGUGAGAGCUGAAAGGAGAAAUUCAUCCUGAAAGGAGAAAUUCACGAAGGAGGCGACGGUACUCUGGGAAGGCUCGUUGAUUACCAGUGAAAAACAGCUUUGGAUUAUGACUAUUGGAUGACGAUUGACAUGGCGACGUCGUAAAAUCGACGCAACUCCAAAUUCUUCAUGGAUCAUAAGUGAUAUCGCGGAUGAGAAAUGAUUAUCAUUGUGGGACUCCGUGAGAAACGUGUUCCUAAACGCGAUCCAUCUAUCCAAAACAAACCAAGCGUCGUCAUGACGCGUUUGGAUCGCGCAUGAACGAUUACAUGCCAUUCCAAAAAUCAACACGUCGACAAUCCGAGAUAAGCUGGUAUUCGAACUACGUGUCCAACGUCUAAUAGUGUCUGACGUAGGUGGAGAGAUUCGGGUGUAUCUUAAUAAAAAAAAAAAAAAAAAAAAAAAAAACGCAACACACGACAACAACGCCAGCGAAAAGAUUGCAAAUGUGAGAUUCGUUAUCGAUGUGGCAGAAAAAUACACGAGUGCUGUAAAAAAGAGGCACGCGAGGGAUGCGUUUCACAGACAAAGGGUGGGGUCUUUGGUUACCGAUAAGGCUUAUCCGGAGAUACGAUGGUCGGCAACUGCGCUCGUCGACUCGUCAGUCAUAGUACUCAGGUGCCGUCGACGAGAUCGUCACGCCGCUCAGGUCGCAGUAAUUUCGUGAUUCGCGCAUCAUUCUGCAGCUCCAAGGAGGUAUCUUGAAAGUGUUGUUUCCGGUCCAGGUGUCCAGUGGUGUCACGUGAGUCCAAAAGGGUUUCGUAUUCGCACCCACAGCUGGAUCGUAUUGCAACGGAUCUCAAAAGACGCUCCAAUAUCCGUCUGGAUUCUAAAGUAUACGAAACGAAAGGUCGGAUAUCGAUCGCUAUCAGUCACCGCUGGAACGAAUUGAACAAGACUUCAACGGGACUAAUCUUUCCGCGUGCUUUCGUGUUGUUGGUGUGCUUAAUCCACGUGAUGAGUGUGUGCUCCUCGUGUUAAGAUUUCAAUUCGUUUCUGAGCGCGAACGUGAUUCGUGAAUCGAGAGUGUCCUGUGCUGUUCGUAGUUCGCCCGAAACCCUAGAAGUAGCUUGUUCGUGCACGUACUGUAGAGUUUGAGGGUUGACGCCUUCAAACCGCAAGCGUACAAUAAUCCUGUCUUCCUCAAGGAUAAACGAAACCGAGCGAAGGAGGCACCGACAUCCGGUUGCCAAACGGACUCCCAUGAAAAUGCUACAGUCGCUAAACGCUCUGGCGGGUAAAAUCUCGCCAGGCUCUCCUACCGAUAGCAACGCCAACAAGGUGCAUAUGCAUAAUAACAACAAUAAUAACAACAACGUGCAUCACCAUCCCUACUCCAAACAGCAGACCCAGCCGUCCCCGUCGCACUCUGCCAACGGCGACCAAAAGGAAAAUACCAUAAUGAACAACAACAGUGUAGAACAGCCGGAUCCAGACAACAUAAAGAUGUUUGUGGGGCAGGUUCCUCACGAUAUGGACGAGAAUGAUUUGAGGACGAUGUUUGAGGAAUAUGGUCGAGUGCAUCAGAUAAAUAUCCUGCGGGACAAGAUCACCGGUAGUCAUAGGGGAUGUUGCUUUGUAACCUUUUACACUAGAAAAGCGGCUUUGGCAGCACAGAACGCUCUUCAUAACGUCAAAACCUUCAGUGGGAUGCGCCAUCCGAUCCAAAUGAAGCCAGCCGACAGCGAGAAUCGGAAUGAGCGCAAACUGUUCGUUGGGAUGCUAUCGAAAAAAUUCACAGAAAACGAUGUUAGGAACAUGUUUAGCGCUUACGGAAUGAUCGAGGAAUGCUCGGUGCUGAGGGACAGCACCGGGAAAAGUAAAGCCUGUGCCUUCGUUACCUUCGCUAGUAAGCAGUACGCAAUCAAUGCCAUCAAAGCUCUGCAUCAUUCUCAGACAAUGGAGGGCUGUUCGUCGCCAUUAGUCGUAAAAUUCGCCGAUACGCAAAAGGAAAAGGACCAGAAGAGGAUGCAGCAACUUCAGUCGAAUCUCUGGAACAUCGCGGGAGUCAACAUCACACCGCAUUACCUAGCCAAUGAUGCGCACACUUUGGCGCCUGCAUCGUUGCAGCUUCUGCAACAGUUGCAGGCGACGACGAGUGCCGCGACUCCGGUCGCUGCGAACGCGGGAGCGGCUAAUGCACUGUCGAAUGUACAACAUCAGUUACUGUUACAACAACACCUUGGCCUUGGUGCGGCAACACCUGCACACGCAGCACCCCCCGCUGUACCUAGUCCAGCAGAAAUCAACCCUGCAAAUUUGCAAAGUUUAGCCACCCUCGCGUCUCUGAGCAACACUGCUGGUGAGUAUGCAAAUGCGGGUGUGUCGCCAAUGAGUAUGCAGAACCUUGUCACUCUGGCAGCUAUGACCGGCGGAAACGGCAAUCUCCAGGUGUCGCCAAACACAUUAAGCGGUCUGGCGAAUUCGACAGCAGGUAUGUCGCUAUCUGCUCUUCUGGGAAAAACAGGAAAUACAGGGUCUACCGGGGGCAGUCUUAGUCCUGUAACAUCUCUCACGCUCAAUUCCUUGACGGGAACCCCGUUAAACGGACUUCAGGAUUCGCUGAGCAACGCUUAUUCUAGCUUACAACAGUAUGCAGCUCUCAUUGGAAAGACGACGGUGACCGUGGAAAAGAAAGAGUUGCAUAGGUUCCCCGCGUUCACGGCGGCUGCAGCCGCUGCGGCGGCGGCAGCGCAGAAGACCAAGUUCACCAGCACGGACAAGCAAAUCGAGGGUCCCGAAGGUUGCAACCUUUUUAUAUAUCACCUACCGCAAGAAUUUAGCGAUACAGACCUCAUUUCUACCUUUUUGCCCUUCGGCAAUGUCAUAUCCGCCAAAGUUUUCAUAGAUAAGCACACGCACAUGAGUAAAUGCUUUGGUUUCGUAUCGUAUGACAAUGCGUCGAGCGCGCAAGCGGCGAUCCAAACGAUGCACGGUUUCCAGAUUGGCAUGAAGCGACUGAAGGUCCAGUUGAAACGGUCCAAGGAUGCCUGCAAGCCGUACUAGCUGACGUCACAGAACGUUCGUAGGUAGAUACCAAGGACUUCUCGGACACCUUGGCUCGACGACGUCCUUAGUCUGGACGACGCUCGUGCAUUUAAUUAACAACCGCGAUGGUUGAUUAUUCCGCAGCGGAAUCGCGUCUAGCGAUAGGUCUAGGUAGACAAGCGAAAGUAUUAGGUGGCCGUAUUCCACAAUACUCUCUAGUCAAGCAGUAUUUUCCACGAAGGUAGCGAGUUAACGGGCUACAAUCGAGCGUUCUCGGACGCCGAAGAGGAGACGUCGCUGCUCGACACCUUCGCCGUCCUAUCGAAACGAGGCUGUGAUAAUCCAGAAGACUCUCUUGUCUCCAUCGGACUGACUUUUCUUCCGAGCAGGUGGCCUGUGACGUUGUGACCGUGUACUCUCGAUCGGAGUCGCCGUGCCAUGUCAGUCUCAGUCAAAUCAGUAUCGGUCGUUCGCUCGACCGGUCGAUCGAUCAGUCACGAUUCCCCGGUCAGUCUCUCGAUCAGUCUAUCUGUGUCUGUCGAUGCCUGUACAAAGAACAACACCCGCCCACGCGCUCUCACUUCUGCCGUGAGAUCCUCCGCCUUGUUGACCUCUUCUCUAUCUCUUCAUCUUAUCUCCUCAACCUCUUUUGCGCCCAUACCGCCUAUCCACAAAGUCGCGACAUCGUUCAUACUUCACGAUCGCACCGAGCGAUUGCUUGCCUCCCGAUCGCAGCUGCGCAUGUAAAACAUUGGACGAAUCCUCGGACAUGCAGAAGAAUUCACGGUGCUGGGCAAAUGAAAGUUGUGGCCGAGAAAGUGCACAUGAAAUGUGGAGGAGCGCGAUGAAGAAGGCUGAGAAAGUGGAACAGAAAGGAGGACGCGAUGCACCGACGACCGACCAGGGUUCCUCGAACGAAGCUAACGCGCUAUGUUAACUGUCUGUCCAAUCUCCCCUCCCCUUUAUGUAUAUACAGAUAUAUAAAUAUAUCAUGCAUAUAUGUACAUACACAUAUAUGUGUACGUGUGUAUGAUAUGUGCGUAUGUUUGAGAGCGCAAUGAGGAUUCUUAUAGUUAAUUAACGGUAGGCGAUGCUCUACGUUUCACGGUGAAAGCGGACAAAAGGACAAGCGAGGAAUGUGUGGCGAAUCAGCUGUGCGAGAAAUUUUUCUUAUACAUAACUAUACAUAUACAUAGUUAUACAUACAUGUUCAUAAAUCGAAUUAUCGACUGAGAACUAUUUUUAUCGGCUCUACUAUCGGGAUCGCUGUCGCAGCGCCUGUUUAUACAUAAAUAUGCAUAUGCAUAUGUGCGUAUGUAUCGCGGCAAAUUGGGCGUGUAAACGAGAUAAUAUAUGUAUGAAGAAGCACGAGAGAUGGAGGCGGAAAGGGAAACGCGAAAGGACGAACAAUGAUCGUGCGGGACCGACGCGCGUGCGAUUUCUUAGGUUUAAAUCGUGCAAAUAUACCAAAAACGAAACGGAUACAAAGAAUUAAACAAAAAAAACCGAUAGAUAGCAAAGAAACGAAUAUAAGAGACAUUUUGUAGUAAUGACUUUGUGAUAAGAUUGUAUCGUAUAGGGGACCGUGGUCUCAAACUGAAACUGGGCCGGAUCGCUCAGGAAUAAACACAUCAGGCGUCACACA